GUGAACUCCUGUGAUUAGACGAUGACGAGGCUGACGCCGCCGCUGGCAGUCUUUGCCUUCGGCUCGGCUGAUGCGACAUGAGGCAUUUGUAUGAGGAGACCUGAUCCAUCAUCAAUGGGACAGCUUCGUGAUUGCAGCAACUUGACUCUGUGUACGUUAUGACCCUGCCUCAGGUGAAGGCAGCUGCAGGAUACAAACUUCACUGAGACGCAAAGACAUAUGAGCAGGGGAAACUAGAACAAGAGUGACGAGCGCUCACUGCUUGGUCAGAAGGCCGGUUCCUCCCUUGGUUACAGGUCAAGGCAGCUGCAGGAUACAAACUUCGCUGAGACGCAAAGACAUAUGAGUAGGGGAAACUAGAGGAAGAGUGACGAGCGCUCACUGCUGGGCCAGAAGGCCGGUUUGCUGGCACAAUUACAGUUUGACCUGGCUUCAGGUCCAUGCUGCAUUGGAAGACGCCGGGUCGUAUGCGAAGCUGCUGGGCACCAGCCAGUGCUUGGCGAUGACGUCGGCAAGACAUGAACGCAGAGGCGCGUGAUGUCUGCCGGGCCAAUCCAAGAGCAGGACGCCGGCACCUUGGAGAGAUGAGCGGGAGGCAUGAAUGUCGGAUGGGUGGCUAUGUAUGUUUAUCCUGUUUCUGGCGGGCAUUUGUGUCAUUGAUGGCUCUGGAGUAUCCAAAAAGUUAGGAUCAUUGCGUUUUCGAUGACUAGUUUGCGGGUUGAAGAUACCAGCCGUUUUUGUAAGACCUGAUCCCACCAUUAAUGGGUCGAGUUUGCAAGGCCAUACACACAUCUUCCUUUCUUCUAUCUGGUUGUAUUAAAGAAAACAAUCCAGUUUACCUGGUAAAUGCCUUUUAACCGUCACAGCAGUAUGCGAGUAACCAGCUUUGGGUGUGCCUGGCAAUUACCACUACACAACAGUUAUAGGUCUGCUCACAGUUCUGUGCAUGCAACAACAACGUUGCAUUAUAACUAUAGCAUAUCAGUGCGUCUUGAGAACAUAUGUGGUGGACAUUGGUCCGAGAGGUUCUCAAUUAUGCUGCCAACUGAAUGUUACGCCAAUAGUAUCAACGCACGUUUAUUUUCCCAUCUACAGUGAUAGAUGCCUUCCCUGGCCUGUUCUGUCGGAGCCAUUCUGAGCAUUGACAUUUUGGAAAACAUUUCACCACCAGAACUGCGUGUCAAACGACAGCGCUUCUUGGUAGACGACUAUAUGGACGUGAAACUACAUUGCAUUUUGUGAGGCAGAAUGAAUGCUUGGGGCGGAAUGUACGUAAAGUGUGAUUCGCCUUGUUUGAAGAGCAGUUGCCACCUUGGCCAAGGUAAGAUAUUCAAGUUGAAAGUUUGAUUCCUAUGAAAGGUGCUGAAAGAGCCCUCCUUGUUUUCGGCCGCAGGUGGUGUGCUUUUCGUGCACUGUGAAAGUUGCUGGUAUCCUUUAGUCCAUCUGUUUCAUGAUAGUGAAUUUGCUAAGCGUAGUUAAUGGUAGCUUCAAGAUUGCUGGGUUUUUUUGGGGGGGGGGGGGAGGCGCGUUCUAGGAGCUCGGCGCGUUUUUGUGACUCGGUAGAUGGUGUUUCACGGAUCGUAUGCCUCAGUAUGACGACGCAACCGCCAGGGUGAGGAGGGAGACGGAGAAGUAAUCACCUCGCUGUUGAGGCAGAAGCGCAUCACCAGCAUCGGUACAUCGUUACGUGCUUGGUCUCCAUCUGCGCCAUCUUGGGAGCUCUCAGUUACGUCUUUCCAAGCGAACCCUGUGGUAUAUUCUCGAGACGACCUCGGUGUCCGUAAAAUAAACGCUCGAUCCGA